rnacentral:rRNA from 1 species
UACGAAGGGGGCGAGCGUUGUUCGGAUUUACUGGGCGUAAAGGGCGCGCAGGCGGUCAUUUUUGUCGAGUGUGAAAGCCCCGGGCUUAACCUGGGAACUGCGCUCGAAACGGGAUGACUAGAGAUCGGAGAGGAGAGUGGAAUUCCCAGUGUAGAGGUGAAAUUCGUAGAUAAUUGGGAAGAACACCGGUGGCGAAGGCGGCUCUCUGGACCGAUACUGACGCUGAGGCGCGAAAGCGUGGGGAGCAAACAGG